rnacentral:rRNA from 1 species
CUGUCCUACGGGGCGCAGCAGUGGGGGAUAUUGCACAAUGGGGGGAACCCAGAUGCAGCGACGCCGCGUGGGUGAAGAAGUCAUUCGUGACGUAAAGCCCUAUCAGCAGGGAAGAAAAUGACGGUACCUGACUAAGAAGCCCCGGCUAACUACGUGCCAGCAGCCGCGGUAAUACGUAGGUGGCGAGCGUUGUCCGGAUUUACUGGGUGUAAAGGGAGCGUAGACGGUUCUGCAAGCCAGAUGUGAAAGCCCGGGGCUCAACCCCGGGACUGCAUUUGGAACUGUAAGGCUAGAGUGUCGGAGAG